rnacentral:rRNA from 1 species
GAUGAACGCUGGCGGCGUGCCUAAUACAUGCAAGUCGAGCGAACAGACGAGGAGCUUGCUCCUCUGACGUUAGCGGCGGACGGGUGAGUAACACGUGGAUAACCUACCUAUAAGACUGGGAUAACUUCGGGAAACCGGAGCUAAUACCGGAUAAUAUAUUGAACCGCAUGGUUCAAUAGUGAAAGACGGUUUUGCUGUCACUUAUAGAUGGAUCCGCGCCGCAUUAGCUAGUUGGUAAGGUAACGGCUUACCAAGGCAACGAUGCGUAGCCGACCUGAGAGGGUAAUGGGCCACCCUGGAACUGAGACCCGGUCCAGACCCCUACGGGAGGCAGCAGUAGGGAAUCUUCCGCAAUGGGCGAAAGCUUGACGGAGCAACGCCGCGUGAGUGAUGAAGGUCUUCGGAUCGUAAAACUCUGUUAUUAGGGAAGAACAAAUGUGUAAGUAACUAUGCACGUCUUGACGGUACCUAAUCAGAAAGCCACGGCUAACUACGUG